CCCGCGCUCUACCAGGCAGAGCGCGUGCGGCCGCCGAGCACAUGGACCCGCUGGUCAAGCGGGUUGUACAAGGCCAGAAUGAAGAGAAGCUGCGAGUCAGUAUGGAACUCAGAGGUCCCCGAGUGGAUAUCCACGUGGAAAGGAUGUUGGCAGCCCGGGUGACCUCGGAGUCACGGCUGGAUCCACCCUCCCGCCUGAUUUUCUUAACUCCACCCUGCUGAGAAGAUGCCCUCCAGGAGGCUGUGCUUGCAGACUCCACGGAGCCUCUCUCAAGAUUUCCUGAACCUUGUGGAUUUACAGUAAGACGAAGUUCCCUGGGGAGUAAUUCUGGUGGAUGCAAAUUCUGGAGUAAUACACCUGGCCUGCCUAGAGAUGUUACAAGUGGCCUAAUGGAUUUUUCUAGCCUGGACGCCCACUGGGGACAAGGAUCAUUACUGACAGGAUUGUAUCUCUACCCUUGACUCCAUGGGAAUAUUUGGUCUGCUCUCUCGGGCUCCCUCUAAAAUGGUUGACAGAGCUGAGGCUCACAACAGGCUGAACAUGUGCCUGAUGCUUUGCACAGGGUCAGGACCAGCUUCUGGGGAGGGUGAGCAUUGGUUGGCCCUGAGAAGAUUCUAAGGAGCCAGCAUAUCCUUUAAGCAUUCCAGAAGGAUUUUGAGAACCAUCCUUUCCUAAAUCAAAGCUAGAAUAUUUGGAGAUUUGGAAAAUUGAGGUAAGUAAGGGCUGUUCUCUCUCUGAGCCUUUUGGAAACAAAAUUUAGCUUUGAAAAUGAAAAUUUAGCUUUAGUCUUUGUAGCAGGAUUUAGGGUACAUUUUAGUGUUUU
rnacentral:lncRNA from 14 species